AGGAGGGGGACAAGGAGGGGAGGAGCGGCGGGAGGAGGAGGGGGACGAGGAGGAGGACGGCGGACGGGUGGUUCCCCCCACCCCCACCCCCAAGAGGCGGAGCCGCGCGGGUCCGGGCGCCGGGCCGCGGCCACCCGCAGGCGGACACACUGGGACGCGCUCGCACCCUCUCCCCUCCUCUCCCGCCCACCUGGCCCGCCCCGCCCCCCUUUCCGAUCCCUCCCCUCCUCCGGGACCCCGGGCGCGCCCCAGCCGGCCCCCGCACCUCGCUGACGGCCCGCCGAGACAACGCGCCCCCUCUUCCCGCUCCGGUGGCCGAUUUUCGGAGGAGAGGAAAUUUCACUUUUUCACGGCCGCCGCCGACCCCGCCCCUCCCUUCAGCCCCAUCCCCUUCCCGAGCAGGGCUGAUUUCUACCUCCUGGUGCGGGUGUCUGGGGAGGCGGUGUUGCCAUGGUUUGCCUUGACCUUGGCAAAGGAGGGGAGGGAUAUUGCCCUGGCUUAAGCUACGUUUGAGCUUCCUCGGGUUUCCUUGGCUCCCUGGACCCAGCCCUCGGUGAUAUCAUUUGCCACAUUUUCCUUGGGUGAGCCUGGCUUUCCCGCCUGAAUGUAAGUUACCCAGGGGCUGACACCUGGCCUCAUUCAUACGUGUACCCCCAAAGCCUAGCCCAGAGCAGGUGCAUGAUAAAUUCUUAGUGCCAGGCGUGGCUCUAAACCCCAAGCACGGAUUGCCUCGCUUCGACUCCCCUGUUCCUCAUGAGGAACACGAGCUUUUAGUCAUUUUGGUUUGGUGAGUGUCAGGUAAAGAAGAGAAUCACCCAAGAAUGUGUCAUAGGAGGGCUGAGACCGAGUUGGGACAGGCGAAAAGAAUGAACCCAGAAUACAGUUUUAUUCAUUUGGUUUUGGUUAAGUCAAACUGUGAAACAUGGAAAAUACACAGACUGUACUAUUCACAGGAUGAACAGCCACUUGCAUUUGUCCAAAAUGUGUAAUACACAACCACGGCAGAAGAGGAAAGGAGGCAUUCAGAGAUACGCGAUGUCAAUGCAGAGCCAACCCAGGAAGAUCUAGGCCAACACAUGAGAAAAAGACCGAGAGAAGUUAAGUACAUGAUGAAGGCCCUUGGCAUUUCUAGAGCUCCUUUUCAAAAUGUAGCAUGUAUCAUGCAGUGGUUUGUACAAGAAGAUUAGAAGGUCAAUAUUCCAGAGGUCUCUUCAGGGCUGUUCCCCUAGUUCACUGAGUGACUUUGGGCAAGCCAUUAAUUUCUCCGGCCUCAUAACCUGAUCUGGAAAACAGAGAUAAACGGCACCAGCCUCACUGCCACAGUCUGUUGAAGUCCCUGGAUAGGAUGUGUGUGAAGAGGGCAGCGUCUUAUGUUGAAAGUGCUUUGCCGAUGCUAAUUAAUCCUCGCAGCACCCC